AUGCUGGCCUUCGCCAAGCGCACGAGCUGCACGACCACCGAUCCGCCUCUGGCGGAUAGCUACCGUGCGCUGCUCUGCAGAGGCAAGCUCGAGGGUGGCGGCGCUGCGUCGGCGCAUGCGGUGGAGAGCCUGGCCAUGCUGGAGCGUGACCUGCCAAUUAUCGACUUGAAGCGCCUGGCGAGCCGCGACGCGAGGGAGAGCAAGGCGUGCGCGGAGGCCAUGGCGAGAGCUGCGUCGGAGUGGGGCUUCUUCCAGGUGGUCAACCACGGCGUGGGGCGGGAGCUUUUAGAGGAGAUGAGGCGGGAGCAGGCGAGGCUGUUCCGCCUGCCGUUCGGUACCAAGGACAAGGCCGGGCUCCUCAACGGCUCGUACCGGUGGGGCAACCCGACGGCCACGUCGCUCGGGCAGCUCUCGUGGUUCGAGUCCUUCCACGUUCCGCUCCCCAGCAUCUCCCGGGAAGACUGCGACCGCGGAAAGCUCAGCACGUUGAGGGGAGUGAUGCAGGAGGUGGCGGACGCGAUGUCGCAGGUGGCGGGCACGGUGGCCGGGAUGCUGGCGGAGAACCUCGGGCACGAGGCAGGCGGCGAGUCGGCGUUCCCGGCAGGGUGCGACGGGACGACGUGCUUCCUGCGGCUUAACAGGUACCCGGCGUGCCCGUUUGCGGCGGACUCCUUCGGCAUGGUGCCGCACACGGACAGCGACUUCCUCACCAUCCUCUGCCAGGACCAGGUCGGGGGGCUACAGCUCAUCAAGGACUCCCGCUGGGUCGCCGUGAAGCCCCACGCCGACGCGCUCAUUGUCAACGUCGGCGAUCUGUUUCAGGCGUGGAGCAACAACAGGUACAAGAGCGUGGAGCAUAAGGUGGUGGCCAAUUCCAAGGCGGAGCGUUUCUCCGUCGCCUACUUCCUGUGCCCGUCGUCGGACUCGUCCGUCGGAACAUGCGGCGAGCCGUCGCCGUACAAGCCGUUUACCUUUGGAGAGUAUAGGAGGAGUGUACAGGAUGAUGUCAAGAGAACCGGGAAAAAGAUUGGACUCCCCAACUUUCUCAAACGUUCUACGGUUCACGGCCUCGAUGACGACACGAUGGACCUCUCUUCUUAA
rnacentral:rRNA from 1 species